rfam:Anaerolineae bacterium CG2_30_64_16 cg2_3.0_scaffold_1525_c, whole genome shotgun sequence.
UCGUGCUAGACGGGGAGCUAGCGGUGCCCUGUACCCGCAACCCGCUAUAGCGGGGUCGAAUUCCCUUUCGAGGAUCGGCGGUUAGCAGGACUGCCCUGUCAGCGGGCGUUGAGGACUGGGUCUCGUGCGGCGAGGACCUGCGAACCGGGUCAGGACCGGAAGGUAGCAGCCCUAAGUGGUCCCCCUCGGGCGCCACGAGGCAGCCUGGUCUGAGCAAGCUGGCGUGGGCAAGCUGAGUAACGAGGUACGAAAAAGGGUGCACGA